GCACUGCUGAUGAGUCCCACAAUAGGACGAAACGGCCGUCCAGUGC
rfam:Schistosoma margrebowiei strain Zambia genome assembly, scaffold: SMRZ_contig0001524